UACAGAGGGUGCAAGCGUUAAUCGGAAUUACUGGGCGUAAAGGGUGUGUAGGUGGCGUCGUAAGUCGGGUGUGAAAUUUCGGAGCUUAACUCCGAAACUGCAUUCGAUACUGCGGUGCUUGAGGACUGGAGAGGAGACUGGAAUUCAUGGUGUAGCAGUGAAAUGCGUAGAGAUCAUGAGGAAGACCAGUGGCGAAGGCGGGUCUCUGGACAGUUCCUGACACUGAGACACGAAGGCCAGGGGAGCGAACGGG
rnacentral:rRNA from 1 species